rnacentral:rRNA from 2 species
GACGAACGCUGGCGGCGUGCCUAAUACAUGCAAGUCGAGCGGAGUUUCAAGAAGCUUGCUUUUUGAAACUUAGCGGCGGACGGGUGAGUAACACGUGGGCAACCUGCCCCUUAGACUGGGAUAACUCCGGGAAACCGGAGCUAAUACCGGAUAAUCCCUUUCUCCACCUGGAGAGAGGGUGAAAGAUGGCUUCGGCUAUCACUAGGGGAUGGGCCCGCGGCGCAUUAGCUAGUUGGUAAGGUAACGGCUUACCAAGGCGACGAUGCGUAGCCGACCUGAGAGGGUGAUCGGCCACACUGGGACUGAGACACGGCCCAGACUCCUACGGGAGGCAGCAGUAGGGAAUCUUCCGCAAUGGACGAAAGUCUGACGGAGCAACGCCGCGUGAGUGAGGAAGGCCUUCGGGUCGUAAAGCUCUGUUGUGAGGGAAGAAGCGGUACCGUUCGAAUAGGGCGGUACCUUGACGG